UCCCGGCUAGCUCAGUUGGUAGAGCGCUUGACUCUUAAAUUGUAGAGAAGUCCAUCAAGAUGUCGAGGGUUCGAGCCCCUCGUUGGGAG